rnacentral:rRNA from 1 species
AAUUGGCGGGGGAGCACCGCAACGGGAGGAGCGUGCGGUUUAAUUGGAUUCAACACCGUAAAACUCACCAGGGAAGACUGUUACAUGAAGGCCGGGCUAAAGACUCUGCCAGAUUUUCAGAGAGGUGGUGCAUGGCCAUCGUCAGUUCGUACCGUAAGGCGUUCUCUUAAGUGAGAUAACGAACGAGACCCUCACCGAUAAUUGCUACUUAUCCCUCCGGGGGUAAGGCACAUUAUCGGGACCGCUGGCGCUAAGUCAGAUGAAGGAGAGGUCAACGGUAGGUCAGUAUGCCCCGAAUUUCCUGGGCUACACGCGCGCUACAAAGGGCGGGACAAUGGGUUCUGACACCGAAAGGUGUAAGCAAUCCCGAAACCCGUCCGUAGUUCGGAUUGAGGGUUGUAACUCACCCUCAUGAAGCUGGAUUCCGUAGUAAUCGCGAAUCAACAACUCGCGGUGAAUAUGCCCCUGCUCCUUGCACACACCGCCCGUCAAACCAUCCGAGUUGGGUUUCAGUGAGGUUACCCCUAAUUAGGGUAUUCGAACUGAGAUUUAGCAAGGAAGGUUAAGUCGUAACAAGGUAUCU